GCCCCCCAAACUACCUCUUCACUACACACUAGCCCCUUCCUCCCAAAAUCAUGUCUUCCUCCACCGUCCCCGCCUGCAGCGAACAACCGCCACUCCUAAUACCGUCGAUCCCAGACGACGUCGCUCUGAACUGCCUUGCCCGAGUACCUCGGUCCCUCCACCCAACCCUAUCCCUCGUCUCCAAACCAAUCCGGUCCCUCCUCUCUUCCCCUCUCUUCUUUACCGCACGCUCUCUCCUACAGUCCACUGAACCCCUCCUCUACCUCUCUAUCCGGUCUCCUCUCUCUCCUUCCCUCUGGUUCUCUCUCGGCCGCACAAAUGACCAAGACUACCCUCGCUCCCUUGUCCCGGUCCCACCUGCCCCCUCCUCUUCCGUGGGCUCCUCUUAUGCCGCCCUGGGCUCCUCUAUCUACGUCCUCGGUGGGUCUACCAACGAUGUUCCUACCUCUCGCGUCUGGGCCCUCGACUGCCGCUUCAACAAGUGGUUGCCCACCACCAGCAUGCGCGUCGGGCGCGAGUUCUCUGCAGCGGGAGUCGUGGACGGCAGAAUCUACGUCAUGGGUGGGUGCGUGGUAGACACGUGGGCCCGUUCGACUCACUGGGCCGAGGCGUUCGACCCUAGGACCGGGAAGUGGGAAGCGGUGCCGAGCCCGAUAGAGGUCCGGGACAAGUGGAUGCACGCGAGCGCGGUAGUGGACGGGAAGAUCUACGCGAUGGCGGACCGUGGUGGGAUCGUUUACGACCCGAGAAACGGGAAGUGGGAAAGCGUGGAGAGCGAGCUGGACUUGGGGUGGAGAGGGAGGGCUUGCGUUGUGGAUGGGAUUUUGUACUGCUACGACUUCUUGGGGAAGAUUCGGGGGUUCGAUGGGAGGGAAAAGGAGUGGAGGGAGCUGAGGGGAGUGGAGAAUGGGCUGCCCAGAUUUCUGUGCGGCGCAACAAUGGCCAAUGUGGGUGGGAAUCUGGUGGUGGUGUGGGAAGAGAAGGGAAGGGGGAGGGUGAAAGAGACGGAGAUUUGGUGUGCGGAGAUUGGGGUGGAGAAGAGGCAGGAUGGUCGAGAGCUGUGGGGGAAGAUUGGGUGGGUGGAGAAGGUUCGGUCCGUUCCCAGUGGGUCGUCCAUCGUGCACUGCGUGGCUGUUUCCGUGUGAUAUAAAGGUUCUAUACUCUUCCUUCUCUGUUCUCCAGUAUCCAAUUCUUGUGUGGGAGUAGCAAGAGCCACAUGAGGGGUUCUAUAUUCUUCCUUCUCUGUUCUCCAGUAUCCAAUCCUUGUGUGGGAGUAGCAAGAGCCACAUGAUUCUAUCAUUAAGCUGUCAUCUACACUAGCUGCUACUGCAAUCUUAUGGAAGUCUUGGGAAAAGUUCCUUCUGAUUCAUGUCAGGUCAUUUGCUUAAAACCAUUUCAUGAUUAAAAAUAACAAGAAUUGCUCAAAGUGUACUCUAUGCACUACUAUUCUCCAUAUAAUGGGCACUUUCAAUGGCCAUGUCAAGUUUAUGCAUUUGUAUAUAAGUUCCAAGUUA